rnacentral:rRNA from 1 species
UACGGAGGGUGCGAGCGUUGUCCGGAAUCACUGGGCGUAAAGGGCGCGUAGGCGGCUCAUGAAGGCUGUGGUGAAAGUCCGGGGCUCAACCUCGGAUCGGCCGUGGCGACUCGUGGGCUGGAGCACUGUAGAGGCGGGUGGAAUUCCGGGUGUAGCGGUGGAAUGCGUAGAGAUCCGGAAGAACACCAGUGGCGAAGGCGGCAUCCUGGACCGACAUUGACGCUGAACGGCGAAAGCUAGGGGAGCAAACGGG